rnacentral:rRNA from 1 species
GACGAACGCUGGCGGCGUGCUUAACACAUGCAAGUCGAACGGGGAAAGGGAGCUUGCUCCCUGGAUCAGUGGCGAACGGGUGAGUAACACGUGGGCAACCUGCCCCAGACUUCGGGAUAACGCCUCGAAAGGAGUGCUAAUACCGGAUACGAACUCCUUGGGCAUCCUUGGGGUUGGAAAGUUUUUCGGUCUGGGAUGGGCCCGCGGCCUAUCAGCUUGUUGGUGAGGUAACGGCUCACCAAGGCGACGACGGGUAGCCGGCCUGAGAGGGUGACCGGCCACACUGGGACUGAGACACGGCCCAGACUCCUACGGGAGGCAGCAGUGGGGAAUAUUGCACAAUGGGCGCAAGCCUGAUGCAGCAACGCCGCGUGAGGGACGACGGCCUUCGGGUUGUAAACCUCUUUUAGUAGGGAAGAAGCGAAAGUGACGGUACCUGCAGAAAAAGCACCGGCUAACUACGUGCCAGCCGCCGCGGUAACAC